UACAGAGGGUGCGAGCGUUUAAUCGGAAUUACUGGGCGUAAAGCGUGCGCAGGCGGUUCGCCAAGUCAGGUGUGAAAGCCCCGGGCUUAACCUGGGAAUGGCAUUUGGGACUGCAAGGCUUGAGUGCGGCAGAGGAGACUGGAAUUCCUGGUGUAGCAGUGAAAUGCGUAGAUAUCAGGAGGAAUACCGAUGGCGAAGGCAGGUCUCUGGGCUGACACUGACGCUCAUGCACGAAAGCGUGGGGAGCAACAGG
rnacentral:rRNA from 1 species